CGUACACUCCUACGGGAGGCAGCAGUGGGGAAUCUUGCGCAAUGGGCGAAAGCCUGACGCAGCCAUGCCGCGUGAAUGAUGAAGGUCUUAGGAUUGUAAAAUUCUUUCACCGGGGACGAUAAUGACGGUACCCGGAGAAGAAGCCCCGGCUAACUUCGUGCCAGCAGCCGCGGUAAUACGAAGGGGGCUGGCGUUGCUCGGAAUUACUGGGCGUAAAGGGAGCGUAGGCGGACAUUUAAGUCAGGGGUGAAAUCCCGGGGCUCAACCUCGGAAUUGCCUUUGAUACUGGGUGUCUUGAGUAUGAGAGAGGUGUGUGGAACUCCGAGUGUAGAGGUGAAAUUCGUAGAUAUUCGGAAGAACACCAGUGGCGAAGGCGACACACUGGCUCAUUACUGACGCUGAGGCUCGAAAGCGUGGGGAGCAAACAGGAUUAGAAACCCGUGUAGUCC
rnacentral:rRNA from 1 species